CCAAUAGCGUAUAUUAAAGUUGUUGUGGUUAAAAAGCUCGUAGUUGAACCUUGGGCCUGGCUGGCCGGUCCGCCUCACCGCGUGUACUGGUCCGGCCGGGCCUUUCCCUCUGUGGAACCUCAUGCCCUUCACUGGGUGUGACGGGGAAGCAGGACUUUUACUGUGAAAAAAUUAGAGUGCUCCAAGCAGGCCUAUGCUCGAAUACCUUAGCAUGGAAUAAUGAAAUAGGACGUGCGGUUCUAUUUUGUUGGUUUCUAGGACCGCCGUAAUGAUUAAUAGGGACAGUCGGGGGCAUCAGUAUUCAAUUGUCAGAGGUGAAAUUCUUGGAUUUAUUGAAGACUAACUACUGCGAAAGCAUUUGCCAAGGAUGUUUUCAUUAAUCAGGAACGAAAGUUAGGGGAUCGAAGACGAUCAGAUACCGUCGUAGUCUUAACCAUAAACUAUGCCGACUAGGGAUCGGACGAUGUUAAUUUUUUAAUGACUCGUUUGGCACCUUACG
rnacentral:misc_RNA from 1 species